rnacentral:rRNA from 1 species
AUACGGAGGGUGCAAGCGUUAUUCGGAAUCACUGUGCGUAAAGGACGCGUAGGCGGGUUGGCAAGUCAGAUGUGAAAUCCUACAGCUUAACUGUAGAACUGCAUUUGAAACUGCUAACCUAGAGUAUGGGAGGGGGAGAUGGAAUUAGUGGUGUAGGGGUAAAAUCCGUAGAUAUCACUAGGAAUACCGAAAGCGAAGGCGAUCUCCUGGAACAUAACUGACGCUAAGGCGUGAAAGCGUGGGGAGCAAACAGGAUUAGAAACCCUAGUAGUCC